GCGGUGGUAGCUCAGUUGGUUAGUGUACCGGCCUGUCACGCCGGGGGUCGCGGGUUCGAGCCCCGUCCGCCGCGCCA
rnacentral:tRNA from 1 species